GACGAACGCUGGCGGCGUGCUUAACACAUGCAAGUCGAACGGAAAGGCCCCUUUGGGGGUACUCGAGUGGCGAACGGGUGAGUAACACGUGAGUAACCUGCCCUUGACUUCGGGAUAACUUCAGGAAACUGGGGCUAAUACCGGAUAGGAAUCCUUGCUGCAUGGUGGGGGUUGGAAAGCUUCGGCGGUUUUGGAUGGACUCGCGGCUUAUCAGCUUGUUGGUGGGGUAGUGGCUUACCAAGGCUUUGACGGGUAGCCGGCCUGAGAGGGCGACCGGCCACAUUGGGACUGAGAUACGGCCCAGACUCCUACGGGAGGCAGCAGUGGGGAAUAUUGCACAAGGGGCGGAAGCCUGAUGCAGCAACGCCGCGUGCGGGAUGACGGCCUUCGGGUUGUAAACCGCUUUCAGCAGGGGCGAAGCUUUUGUGACGGUACCUGCAGAAGAAGCACCGGCUAACUACGU
rnacentral:rRNA from 1 species